GGGGGGGGCAAGCGUUGUUCGGAAUUACUGGGCGUAAAGGGCUCGUAGGCGGCCAACUAAGUCAGACGUGAAAUCCCUCGGCUUAACCGGGGAACUGCGUCUGAUACUGGAUGGCUAGAGUUUGGGAGAGGGAUGCGGAAUUCCAGGUGUAGCGGUGAAAUGCGUAGAUAUCUGGAGGAACACCGGUGGCGAAGGCGGCAUCCUGGACCAACACUGACGCUGAGGAGCGAAAGCCAGGGGAGCAAACGGGAUUAGAUACCCCGGUAGUCCUGGCCCUAAACGAUGAAUGCUUGGUGUGGCGGGUAUCGAUCCCUGCCGUGCCGAAGCUAACGCAUUAAGCAUUCCGCCUGGGGAGUACGGUCGCAAGGCUG
rnacentral:rRNA from 1 species